rnacentral:rRNA from 1 species
UACGGGGGGAGCAAGCGUUGUUCGGAUUUACUGGGCGUAAAGGGCGCGUAGGCGGCCACCGCAAGUCAAUUGUGAAAUCUCCGAGCUUAACUCGGAAAGGUCAACUGAUACUGUGCGACUAGAGUGCGGAAGGGGCAACUGGAAUUCUUGGUGUAGCGGUGAAAUGCGUAGAUAUCAAGAGGAACACCUGCGGCGAAGGCGGGUUGCUGGGCCGACACUGACGCUGAGGCGCGAAAGCUAGGGGAGCGAACGGG